UCUGUGGAUGAUAGGGAGUA
rnacentral:siRNA from 1 species